rfam:Staphylococcus haemolyticus JCSC1435 DNA, complete genome.
UAAUAGUAUUUGAAAAUGAUUAUCAAUACCGAAUAAGACAAUUCCCCCCACAUAUAUUUCGUUCUUAAAGGAUUGGUCAUUUUCAAGUUAUUCCCCUUUUAUAUGCCCGUAAAAGACUAACGUUAAAGUUUCAAACUUACUUUAAACGUUUUAAUAAAAAGCAGUGAAUCUAAUGCCGAGGUUCACUGCUUUU